UAAAAGUGAAUCAAUCUGUGACAGCAACCCGUUUUUUGGUAUAACUAUAAAAAUCCUAAUGUGAAAGGAUACAUGGUGUAUUUGUAAAUGCUUCAUUUGAAAAUUGAGUUUCUCACCAGGUAAACAGACUCAGCCAAAAUAAAAAAGAGUAAAUCACCGGAUUUAAUAGAGUAAUGACAGGACCAGGUUUUGAUUGCAUGCUUGGCAUUAACAACUCAGUCCUGAUUGAGAGCACUAACUGUUCUGUCUUAAGUCCUGUUUUUCAGAAGUUGAGAUUCUGUCCGGUUCUGGCCACCCUUUUUCUGAUGGAAGAUACAUCAAAAAGACGAGAAGAACAGCUGUAAAUUGAGCAUGGAGAGACGAGAUAUCUUUCAGGAGCAGACGGAGAGCAGAUUUGCACAGGAGAAUGGCUGAAUCUGGGUACUGGCAGAGUAAGCCCUGUGCACAUAUCCUUCUAAAUUGUGAAUUUUGAUGAAUGAUUUUGUGACAAAUGAGGACAUUGUAAACCUUUUUUGAUAAAUAUGUGUAAGGUCACUAUUUUGCCGUUGAUGUGGACUUUAAGUUCUAAAUGUGCUCAUGUAUUUUUUAUUUUUCUACUGUUCCUAUGUCCUGGAGUGGAGCAUGGUUCAUGGAGGAUGGGAUGAAUUGUCACCGAAGCGGACUUUCAUGUAUGGGCUGAUAAUAUAAUGAGAAAAGGUGAUGUUAUUAGAAAACAAUUCGAACAAUUUUUCAGUAAGACCAUUGCUUUAGCUGCUACAGGUUGCAUGUUAUGCUGUGGCUGAACAUUCUACAUUAUUUUCAAACAUUAUGUUCUCUAUGUUCUUAAUAUUUUGUUUUUAAUUGAGUCGGCAUAGCUGUUGUUUUUGUUUUGAUUUAAGCUUUCAGGUGAGCGAUCUUGGAAGGUAUUUAAAUUUGGAAGUUCAAGUCGAAUACACACAAAAAGAUCAUGUUGCAGGAUAAGUUAAGGUGCAAUUACGUAUAAACAGAGUGUUGUAAUGUUAUUAGUGAAUUCUUACAACUUAUACUCAGUACGAGUUGAGAUGAAACUAAAAAUGAAAUCAGAUGGACACUAAACAUCAAUGUUAAAGAAAAUGUACAUUAGCCCCAUUGGCAUUUUAAGGAUAUCAUCAUGAGACUAGUGAAGACUCUGAGCUGGGAAACCAUUGUAAUAUACGAUACUGGUUAGUUUUUCCUGUCUCCUUAGGGCGACCCAGGGACGUAGAAGGGCGGGGUCCCUCUUUGUGUGCUGGACUAAGGGACUCAGAGGCAUGAUGUUUGCAACAGAGGGGGCCCUGCACCAGGACUGUAAGAAAGCAGUGCAAUUUAAUCAAAGGAUCCUGGGGAGCGACAUACGGUGUCAGCGACAUGAGGACAAGAACUUUGCCACACUACGAAGCUGCCAAUCCCAUCAAAUGUUACAAAUUCUGAUUUUAUCUAUGCUAUGCUAAAUCCCAGAAGUUUUUGAUUUAUGAUAAGGUGUAGGAUGGGUAUAUUUUUUAGGAAGAUGUUUUUGGGUGGUAACCAUAGAAACUGAAUGAUGAUAUUAUACUAUUCAAAUUUUUUUAAUUUUGCUUAAUAUGUUUGUCUUCUUUCCUGUUAUUUUAUGUUUUUUGACAACAUUGUGAGUACCAUGGCUGGGUUUCUGAGCCAUGCUGGUUGGUCAGGUGGUCGGCUGGCGGACGCCCGUGGGGGAGGGGUCCAUGCAACAGUUUUUACCCUGAAUGAACACAUAAAUACCAGCGACAGGGAUUUUUCGGUUGCAUAUGGUCAGAAAUAACUGGCAUAUGGAAAAACAAUGGACAUUUUGUACAUUCGUAUAUAGUUGAGUGCAUGUUUUUAUUUUAUUCUACAUUUACGACCAUACAUUACCAAUUUUUCUUUGUUCUUUUUUCUGUUUGAUAAUCAAAGCAAGUAUUUUUACCCUUUUAUAUUCCUCUAUUACUCCACAUUUACAUUAUUCCAUUUUUCUUAUAGUUCCCAGUGUGAUUUUCCCUUGAUAUGGCUCACGUAAGUGAGCCAAGGGGGGAUGUAUGGACGAAUUCAUCUUUUAUUAUUGCCAAGAUUGAAUCCAGGUUGUCUUAAUAACAGAAAUCACUGCCCAAGGAAUGAUUAGUUCUAGAAUAUUUGUACUGAAUCACAACAAGGUAAAGUAAGGCCAAAGGAACUUUAGUUAAACUACUCUUGGCUCUUACUCUGUUUCUGUCUUUUUCCAAAGUUCUGUUUAUAAGACUUCCUAGAAAUGGAAGAGCACACACACACCAUUUCACACACACACCCCUCCAACUAGGGAGGGAGGGCUUUUGGUCCAGAGCAGCGCCUGUACACAGUAAGAUAUCAUGUUCCUAUUUACGUCAUACUGUAUCCCUAUAAAGGCUGAAAGUUACCCCAUAUUGUUGGGAUUGUUGGGACUGCUGUGAAAUGAAGAUGAUUGUAAGUCCAGAAUAAACGAAUCCCCCUGCUGGUCAUUGAAGAGAA